GUCUUCGGCAUCUGCACUCGCACGCUCUCGCUUCUCAACUCAUACUGCACGCCUUUUGCAUUCGUUCUCGCUGGCGUCUCAACUAACUCUACCCUUAGCGUCUCUUUGUCUUUUCUCGUCCCAUCGAACACAUGUCCCGAAACCCCAGAAAAUAUGAAACUUGAAAAGUACAUCACGCUGAUGCCUCGAUAAACCGUCGUGUCGAUAAAUCCAUGUGUCCGAGCGAUGAAUUUUCCCCAAACAACAAAAAACUGAAGGGAAAUCUUCUUUGAAGGACGUGACAAGGUAGGAGAAGCGGGAACAAUGAUCACGCGAUAAACUGAUGGUGUACGUAUAGAACGAGUGUUGCGAGAGAAUUAUCGAGAAACAAAAAAAGAAAAAAUAAUCGUUGGC
rnacentral:misc_RNA from 1 species